rnacentral:rRNA from 1 species
AGAGUUUGAUCCUGGCUCAGAAUCAACGCUGGCGGCGCGCUUAACACAUGCAAGUCGCACGAGAAAGUGGAGCAAUCCAUGAGUACAGUGGCGUACGGGUGAGUAACACGUGGAUCAUCUACCUCUUGGUGGGGAAUAACCCUGGGAAACCGGGGCUAAUACCGCAUAAGCCUGCAAAGGGAAAGCAGCAAUGCGCCGAGAGAGGAGUCCGCGGCCGAUUAGCUUGUUGGUAGGGUAAUGGCCUACCAAGGCAAUGAUCGGUAGCCGGCCUGAGAGGGCACACGGCCACACUGGCACUAAAACACGGGCCAGACUCCUACGGGAGGCAGCAGUGGGGAAUCUUGCACAAUGGGGGAAACCCUGAUGCAGCGACGCCGCGUGAGCGAUGAAGCCCUUCGGGGUGUAAAGCUCUUUCGGCAGGAACGAUAAUGACGGUACCUGCAGAAGAAGCUGCGGCUAACUACGUGCCAGCAGCCGCGGUAAUACGUAGGCAGCAAGCGUUGUUCGGAAUUACUGGGCGUAAAGAGUGUGUAGGCGGUUCUCUAAGUUCCGUGUGAAAUCUCCCGGCUUAACUGGGAGGGUGCGCGGAAAACUGGAGGGCUGGAGUAUGGGAGAGGAAAGCGGAAUUCCUGGUGUAGCGGUGAAAUGCGUAGAUAUCAGGAGGAACACCUGCGGUGUAGACAGCUUUCUGGACCAUCACUGACGCUGAGACACGAAAGCGUGGGUAGCAAACAGGAUUAGAUACCCUAGUAGUCC